AUUGAACGCUGGCGGCGUGCUUAACACAUGCAAGUCGAUCGGUAACAGGUGUAGCAAUACAUGCUGACGAGAGGCGGACGGGUGAGGAAUAUUUGGGAAUCUGCCCAUCAGCGGGGGACAACCCGGGGAAACCCGGGCUAAUACCGCAUACGCUCUACGGAGGAAAGCCGGGGACCGCAAGGCCUGGCACUGAUGGAUGAGCCCAAAUCGGAUUAGCUAGUUGGCGGGGUAACGGCCCACCAAGGCGACGAUCCGUAGCUGGUCUGAGAGGACGAUCAGCCACACCGGAACUGAGACACGGUCCGGACUCCUACGGGAGGCAGCAGUGGGAAUAUUGGACAAUGGGGGAAACCCUGAUCCAGCGACGCCGCGUGGGUGAAGAAGGCCUGCGGGUUGUAAAGCCCUUUCGGUAGGGACGAAAGCUCUUGCUCUAACAAGGCAGGAGGUUGACUUAACCUACAUAAGAAGCACCGGCUAACUCUGUGCCAGCCGCCGCCGUAAGAC
rnacentral:rRNA from 1 species